ACACAUUAUCCGCAGCUCAUCCCAAAGACACAACAGGCAGAGGUUGAAAUGUCUCAAGAAUGGGAAGAAUUAAGAGAGAUAUAUGAAAAAAGGGAAACAUGGUGUGCUGUGGAACCAGAUGGCAAGCAGUACUGGACCAGAGCCGAGUUGAGGCACUACCCUCAGAAAGACACAAAUCCUUUGAUUUAUCAGUGGCCACCGUAUUCAAGAAUGUCAUGGGCAAGCCAAACUCCAAAACACAGGGAGAAAAGACACUUUUCUAAUGCAGGUAAGUGUACAUUGCACCCCAUGCUCUUGUUUACCGGUCAGACUUUGAAAGUUCAUGAAUG